rnacentral:tRNA from 2 species
GGUGAUGUAGCUCAGGCAGGUUAGAGCGCUGUGUGUGGUGGAUGGUUGAGAGUUCGAGUCUCUCAAGAAACGGAAGAACACCACAAACAGAGGCCAGCGGUUCAAAUCCGCUCAUCGCUU